UACCUGGUUGAUCCUGCCAGUAGUCAUAUGCUUGUCUCAAAGAUUAAGCCAUGCAUGUCUCAGUAUAAGCUUCUAUACGGCGAAACUGCGAAUGGCUCAUUAAAACAGUUAUAGUUUAUUUGGUGGUCAGCAAUUACAUGGAUAACCGUGGUAAUUCUAGAGCUAAUACGUGCGCCCAAACCCGACUUCGUGGAAGGGUUGUGUUUAUUAGAUACAGAACCAACCCAGGCUCCGCCUGGCCUUGAGGUGAUUCAUAAUAACCGAACGAAUCGCAUGGCUAUGCCGGCGAUAGACCAUUCAAGUUUCUGCCCCAUCAGCUUUCGAUGGUAGUGUAUUGGACUACCAUGGCGUUUACGGGUAACGGAGGAUUAGGGUUCGAUUCCGGAGAGGGAGCCUGAGAAACGGCUACCACAUCUAAGGAAGGCAGCAGGCGCGUAAAUUACCCAAUCCUGACUCAGGGAGGUAGUGACAAGAAAUAACGGACCGGUUCCUUCGGAUUCGGGAUUGCAAUGAGCCGAAUUUACACCCCUUAGCGAGGAUCGAUUGGAGGGCAAGUCUGGUGCCAGCAGCCGCGGUAAUUCCAGCUCCAAUAGCGUAUAUUAAAGUUGUUGCAGUUAAAAAGCUCGUAGUUGGAUUUCUGGGAGGGUGCCAAUGUCCGUCGUCGUACGUGUUGCAGCGGCGCCCUUCCAUCCUUCUGUUAACGACUUUGGGCAUUCAUUUGCCGGAGUCGGGCUCAGAUAUUUUACCUUGAGAAAAUUAGAGUGUUUCAGGCAGGCUAGGCCGGAAUACAUUAGCAUGGAAUAAUGGAAUAGGACUACGGUCUCUUUGUUGGUUUGAGGGACUGCAGUAAUGAUUAAUAGGGAUAGUUGGGGGCAUUAGUAUUUAAUUGUCAGAGGUGGAAUUCUCGGAUUUGUUAAAGACUAACUUAUGCGAAAGCAUUUGCCAAGGAUGUUUUCAUUAAUCAAGAACGAAAGUUAGGGGAUCAAAGACGAUCAGAUACCGUCCUAGUCUAACCAUAAACUAUGCCGACUAGAGAUUGUAGGUCGUUAUCUUACGACUCCUUCAGCACCUUAUGAGAAAUCAAAGUCUUGGGCUCCGGGGGGAGUAUGGUCGCAAGGCUGAAACUUAAAGGAAUUGACGGAAGGGCACCACCAGGAGUGGAGCCUGCGGCUUAAUUUGACUCAACACGGGGAAACUUACCAGGUCCAGACAUAGUGAGGAUUGACAGAUUGAUAGCUCUUUCUUGAUUCUGUGGGUGGUGGUGCAUGGCCGUUCUUAGUUGGUGGAGUGAUUUGUCUGGUUAAUUCCGUUAACGAACGAGACCUUAGCCUGCUAACUAGUCGCUGGGAUCUCCUAUCCCAGUCGGCUUCUUAGAGGGACUUUGUGAUCUAAACACAAGGAAGUUUGAGGCAAUAACAGGUCUGUGAUGCCCUUAGAUGUCCUGGGCCGCACGCGUGCUACACUGACACUUACAGCGAGUACUUCCCAGCCCCGAGAGGCGGCUGGUAAUCAGCAAUAAGUGUCGUGAUGGGGAUAGUCCUUUGGAAUUAUUGGACUUGAACGAGGAAUGCCUAGUAAGCGCAGGUCAUUAGCCUGCGUUGAUUAAGUCCCUGCCCUUUGUACACACCGCCCGUCGCUCCUACCGAUUUCGAGUGGUCCGGUGAAUAAUUCGGACUGUGCUUGGUCUUGUGCCAUGUCGCGGAAAGUCAGGUAAACCUUAUCACUUAGAGGAAGGAGAAGUCGUAACAAGGUUUCCGUAGGUGAACCUGCAGAAGGAUC
rnacentral:rRNA from 1 species